GCCUCAUCGGCUCAGAGGCACAGCGUCUGUCUAGUAAACAGAAGGUAAUUGGAUCGUUUCCAACAUUGAGCA
rnacentral:tRNA from 1 species